rnacentral:rRNA from 1 species
AUUAACAGGUGUGACGCAGGAAGGUAGCCGAGCCGGGCGAUGGUAGUCCCGGUCUAAGGAUGUAGGAAACACGAUAGGCAAAUCCGUUGUGUUGUCUUCAAUGACGAUUCUGAGAUCUGAUGGGACCCCCGCAUGGGGGAAUUCGGUGAUCCUAUGCUGCCUAGAAAACCUUCGUGAGCGAGUUGUUGAGCCGCCCGUACCCUAAACCGACUCAGGUGGUCAGGUAGAGAAUACCAAGGUGAUCGAGAUAACCAUGGUUAAGGAACUCGGCAAAAUGCCCCCGUAACUUCGGGAGAAGGGGGGCCUGAGGCGUGAAGGAACUUGCUUCCGGAGCGUUUGAAGGCCGCAGAGACCAGUGGGAAGCGACUGUUUACUAAAAACACAGGUCCGUGCGAAGUCGUAAGACGAUGUAUACGGACUGACUCCUGCCCGGUGCUGGAAGGUUAAGAGGACCUGUUAGC